GUUUCUGUAGUGUAGUGGUUAUCACGUUCGCCUAACUCGCGAAAGGCCCCCUGGUUCGAAACCGGGCAGAAACA